UACGUAGGGGGCAAACGUUGUCCGGAUUUACUGGGCGUAAAGAGCGCGCAGGCGGUCGUUCAAGUCGCGUGUGAAAGCCCCCGGCUCAACUGGGGAGGGUCACGCGAUACUGAUCGACUCGAAGGCAGGAGAGGGUAGUGGAAUUCCCGGUGUAGUGGUGAAAUGCGUAGAUAUCGGGAGGAACACCAGUGGCGAAGGCGACUACCUGGCCUGUUCUUGACGCUGAGGCGCGAAAGCCAGGGGAGCAAACGGG
rnacentral:rRNA from 1 species